GUGAUCACGCAUUCCUACACUAGAUCCUAUCAGAACUCCGCUGUUAAGUGUGCUUGUGCGAGAAUAGUACUAGGAUGGGUUACCUCCUGGGAAGUCCUUGUGUUACACUCC
rnacentral:rRNA from 1 species